GGUUAAGCUACUAAGAGCACACGGAGGAUGCCUAGGCGCUAGGAGCCGAUGAAGGACGUGGCGAACAACGAAACUGCCUCGGGGAGCUGUAAGCAAGCUUUGAUCCGGGGGUGUCCGAAUGGGGAAACCCGGCUGUGGUAAUACGCAGUCACCGCUGCCUGAAUAUAUAGGGCAGUGGGAGGCAUACCAGGGGAACUGAAACAUCUAAGUACCCUGAGGAAGAGAAAACAAGAGUGAUUCCGUCAGUAGCGGCGAGCGAACGCGGAACAGCCUAAACCAGAGAGCUUGCUCUCUGGGGUUGUGGGACGUCUCACAUGGAGUUACAAAGGAAUAUAUUAGACGAAGAGGUCUGGAAAGGCCCGCCAGAGAAGGUAAAAGCCCUGUAAUUGAAAGUGUGUUCCCUCCGAGACGGAUCCCGAGUAGUGCGGGGCACGUGAAACCCCGUAUGAAUCUGCCAGGACCAUCUGGUAAGGCUAAAUACUCCCUAGCGACCGAUAGUGAAGCAGUACCGUGAGGGAAAGGUGAAAAGCACCCCGGAAGGGGAGUGAAAUAGAACCUGAAACCGUGUGCUUACAAAAAGUCAGAGCCCGAUCUAUGGGUGAUGGCGUGCCUUUUGUAGAAUGAACCGGCGAGUUACGUUCCCAUGCAAGGUUAAGGCGAGAAGCUGUAGCCGUAGCGAAAGCGAGUCUGAAUAGGGCGCUUAAGUAUGUGGACGUAGACCCGAAACCGUGUGAUCUACCCCUGUCCAGGAUGAAGGUGCGGUAACACGCACUGGAGGUCCGAACCCACGUAUGUUGAAAAAUGCGGGGAUGAGGUGGGGGUAGCGGAGAAAUUCCAAUCGAACUCGGAGAUAGCUGGUUCUCCCCGAAAUAGCUUUAGGGCUAGCCUCGGAAUUUAAGAGUCGUGGAGGUAGAGCACUGAUUGGGUGCGGGGCCCGCAAGGGUUACCAAGCUCAGUCAAACUCCGAAUGCCAUAGACUUAUAUCCGGGAGUCAGACAGUGAGUGCUAAGAUCCAUUGUCAAGAGGGAAACAGCCCAGACCAUCAGCUAAGGUCCCCAAGUGUGUGUUAAGUGGGAAAGGAUGUGGAGUUGCACAGACAACCAGGAUGUUGGCUUAGAAGCAGCCACCAUUUAAAGAGUGCGUAAUAGCUCACUGGUCGAGUGACUCUGCGCCGAAAAUGUAACGGGGCUAAACACACCACCGAAGCUAUGGCUUGAAUCGACUUCACUGCUUCUUUGAGGUAGUGAAGACUUGGGAAACAUUUUUGUCAGACUUCAAAUGAAAUGAAGGAUGACCAAAUGCACUCAGGGGAUAAACACGUUGAUAAACGUGUCCACCUGAAUGAACAUUUUGAUCGGAAAGCCAGAAAACAGGCUGACGAUGAAAUGCACUCAGGGGAUAAACACACUUCGAAGGCGGAGUGAAGUCGAUUCAGGGGUAGGGGAGCGUUGUAUGUAGGUUGAAGGUGUACCGUAAGGAGCGCUGGACAGCAUACAAGUGAGAAUGCCGGUAUGAGUAACGAAAAGAUCAGUGAGAAUCUGAUCCGCCGAAAGCCCAAGGUUUCCUGAGGAAGGUUCGUCCGCUCAGGGUAAGUCGGGACCUAAGGUGAGGCCGAAAGGCGUAAUCGAAGGACAACAGGUUGAAAUUCCUGUACCACCGUAAACCGUUAUGAACGAUGGGGUGACGCAGGAGGGUAGUGACGCGGACUGAUGGAUGUCCGUCCAAGCAGUGAGGCUGAUGUGUAGGCAAAUCCGCACAUCGUUAAGGCUAGGCUGUGAUGGGGAGUGAAAAUUAUAGUAGCGAAGGUCAUGAUCUCACACUGCCAAGAAAAGCCUCUAGUCAGGUGAAGGUGCCCGUACCGCAAACCGACACAGGUAGGCGAGAAGAGAAUUCUAAGGCGCGCGGAAGAACUCUCGUUAAGGAACUCGGCAAAAUGACCCCGUAACUUCGGGAGAAGGGGUGCCCCGGUAGUGUGAAUAGCACGAGGGGGCCGCAGUGAAAAGGCCCAAGCGACUGUUUAACAAAAACACAGGUCUGUGCGAAGCCGUAAGGCGAAGUAUACGGGCUGACGCCUGCCCGGUGCUGGAAGGUUAAGGGGAGUGGUUAGGAGCAAUCCGAAGCUAUGAACCGAAGCCCCAGUAAACGGCGGCCGUAACUAUAACGGUCCUAAGGUAGCGAAAUUCCUUGUCAGGUAAAUUCUGACCCGCACGAAUGGCGUAACGAUUUGGGCGCUGUCUCAACGAGAGAUCCGGUGAAAUUUUAAUACCUGUGAAGAUGCAGGUUACCCGCGACAAGACGGAAAGACCCCAUGGAGCUUUACUGCAGCUUGAUAUUGGAUUUGGGUACGAUCUGUACAGGAUAGGUGGGAGCCUAAGAAACAGGAGCGCAAGCUUCUGUGGAGGCGCCGUUGGGAUACCACCCUGAUCGUAUCUAGGUUCUAACCUAGUACCGUAAACCGGUGCGGGGACAGUGUCUGGUGGGCAGUUUGACUGGGGCGGUCGCCUCCUAAAGAGUAACGGAGGCGCCCCAAGGUUCCCUCAGAAUGGUUGGAAAUCAUUCGAAGAGUGCAAAGGCAUAAGGGAGCUUGACUGCGAGACCUACAAGUCGAGCAGGGACGAAAGUCGGGCUUAGUGAUCCGGUGGUACCGCAUGGAAGGGCCAUCGCUCAACGGAUAAAAGCUACCCUGGGGAUAACAGGCUUAUCUCCCCCAAGAGUCCACAUCGACGGGGAGGUUUGGCACCUCGAUGUCGGCUCAUCGCAUCCUGGGGCUGAAGUAGGUCCCAAGGGUUGGGCUGUUCGCCCAUUAAAGCGGUACGCGAGCUGGGUUCAGAACGUCGUGAGACAGUUCGGUCCCUAUCUGUCGUGGGCGUAGGAAAUUUGAGAGGAGCUGUCCUUAGUACGAGAGGACCGGGAUGGACGUACCGCUGGUGCACCAGUUGUUCCGCCAGGAGCAUGGCUGGGUAGCUACGUACGGAAGGGAUAAGCGCUGAAAGCAUCUAAGCGUGAAGCCCCCCUCAAGAUGAGAUUUCCCAAUUAGUAAGACCCCUUGAAGACGACGAGGUAGAUAGGUUGGAGGUGGAAGUGCAGCAAUGCAUGGAGCUGACCAAUACUAAUCGGUCGAGGGCUUAUCCUA
rnacentral:rRNA from 1 species